rnacentral:tmRNA from 1 species
GGGGUUGACUGGAUUUGACAGCGGGCAGAGAUGGUAAGUAAGCAUGCAGUGCUUCGUUGAUUGGCACUUAAAUCUCAGUCCUCAAAAUUUUAUCUGGCGAAACUCGUUACGCUCUCGCUGCUUAAUCGAAGUACAGUAGAUUGAAGCUUAAUUUCGGCACAAGGUGCUGAAACGAGACAUCACUCAAAAGCUCUGGCUCCGAAGCAUUUUGGUAAAGUGGUGCAGCUAAAUCGGAGAUAGUUGGCAUUGGCCUCGCGGUGUCGAUGAAGUUUUAGAGGAUAAGGCGUCGGUUGAUGGCUUUGGUUCUGCCGCCGCACGAAAAUUUAGGCAAAGAUAAGCAUGUAGAAAGCUUAUGAUUUCCUCGUUUGGACGAGGGUUCGAUUCCCUCCAGCUCCACAA